rnacentral:rRNA from 1 species
AGGCAAUAACAGGUCUGUGAUGCCCUUAGAUGUUCUGGGCCGCACGCGCGCUACACUGAUCAAGUCAACGAGUUUACAACCUUGGCCGGAAGGUCUGGGUAAUCUUUUGAAACUUGAUCGUGCUGGGGAUAGUCCAUUGCAAUUAUUGGACUUCAACGAGGAAUUCCUAGUAAGCGUGAGUCAUCAGCUCGCGUUGAUUACGUCCCUGCCCUUUGUACACACCGCCCGUCGCUACUACCGAUUGAAUGGCUUAGUGAGGCUUUCGGAUUGGAUUUUGAGCGAGCUGGCACAGCAAGCUAGG